CCUACGGGGGGCAGCAGUGGGGAAUAUUGCACAAUGGGCGCAAGCCUGAUGCAGCCAUGCCGCGUGUGUGAAGAAGGCCUUCGGGUUGUAAAGCACUUUCAGCGGGGAGGAAGGCGUUAAGGUUAAUAACCUUGGCGAUUGACGUUACCCGCAGAAGAAGCACCGGCUAACUCCGUGCCAGCAGCCGCGGUAAUACGGAGGGUGCAAGCGUUAAUCGGAAUUACUGGGCGUAAAGCGCACGCAGGCGGUCUGUCAAGUCGGAUGUGAAAUCCCCGGGCUCAACCUGGGAACUGCAUUCGAAACUGGCAGGCUAGAGUCUUGUAGAGGGGGGUAGAAUUCCAGGUGUAGCGGUGAAAUGCGUAGAGAUCUGGAGGAAUACCGGUAGCGAAGGCGGCCCCCUGGACAAAGACUGACGCUCAGGUGCGAAAGCGUGGGGAGCAAACAGGAUUAGAUACCCCUGUAGUC
rnacentral:rRNA from 1 species